rnacentral:rRNA from 1 species
CCUACGGGGGGCUGCAGUGGGGAAUAUUGGACAAUGGGGGGAACCCUGAUCCAGCCAUGCCGCGUGUGUGAAGAAGGCCCUCGGGUUGUAAAGCACUUUCAGUGAGGAAGAACGCCUGGUGGUUAAUACCCAUCAGGAAAGACAUCACUCACAGAAGAAGCACCGGCUAACUCCGUGCCAGCAGCCGCGGUAAUACGGAGGGUGCGAGCGUUAAUCGGAAUUACUGGGCGUAAAGCGCGCGUAGGUGGCUUGAUAAGCCGGUUGUGAAAGCCCCGGGCUCAACCUGGGAACGGCAUCCGGAACUGUCAAGCUAGAGUGCAGGAGAGGAAGGUAGAAUUCCCGGUGUAGCGGUGAAAUGCGUAGAGAUCGGGAGGAAUACCAGUGGCGAAGGCGGCCUUCUGGACUGACACUGACACUGAGGUGCGAAAGCGUGGGUAGCAAACAGGAUUAGAACCCGGGUAGUC